rnacentral:sRNA from 1 species
AAAAUAUACUAAUUUUAAAAAGAUAAAUUGUCCCCGCGGUGUACCGCGGGUUAAAAUUUAGUAUCUAACGUAAUAAUAUAGCAAAAAAAA